GAUCCUGGCUCAGGAUGAGCGCUAGCGAUAGGCCUAACACAUGCAAGUCGAGGGGCAGCGGAGUGUAGCAAUACAUUGCCGGCGACCGGCGCACGGGUGAAUAACGCGUAUGCAACCUACCUAUAACAGGGGGAUAACCCGGAGAAAUCCGGACUAAUACCGCAUAAAACAGGGGCUCCGCAUGGAGAUAUUUGUUAAAGAUUUAUCGGUUAUAGAUGGGCAUGCGUUCCAUUAGCCAGUUGGUGAGGUAACGGCUCACCAAAGCAACGAUGGAUAGGGGAACUGAGAGGUUUGUCCCCCACACUGGAACUGAGACACGGACCAGACUCCUACGGGAGGCAGCAGUGAGGAAUAUUGGUCAAUGGGCGAGAGCCUGAACCAGCCAAAUCGCGUGAAGGAAGACUGCCUUAUGGGUUGUAAACUUCUUUUGUACAGGAAUAAAAAGAGGGACGUGUCCCUCCUUGCAUGUACUGUACGAAUAAGCAUCGGCUAACUCCGUGCCAGCAGCCGCGGUAAUACGGAGGAUGCGAGCGUUAUCCGGAUUUAUUGGGUUUAAAGGGUGCGCAGGCGGGCACUUAAGUCAGCGGUGAAAUCUCCAGGCUCAACCUGGAACCUGCCGUUGAAACUGGGUGCCUUGAGUAUAGAUGAAGUAGGCGGAAUUCGUUGUGUAGCGGUGACAUGCUUAGAUAUAACGAGGAACUCCAAUUGCGUAGGCAGCUUACUAAACUAUAACUGACGCUCAAGCACGAAAGCGUGGGGAUCAAACAGGAUUAGAUACCCUGGUAGUCCACGCCGUAAACGAUGAUUACUAGUUGUAUGCGAUAUGAUAGUAUGUGACUAAGCGAAAGCGAUAAGUAAUCCACCUGGGGAGUACGCCGGCAAC
rnacentral:rRNA from 1 species